rnacentral:rRNA from 1 species
GACAGAGGUGGCAAGCGUUGUUCGGAAUUACUGGGCGUAAAGGGUGUGUAGGCGGUUGGGUAAGUCAGAGGUGAAAGCCCAUAGCUUAACUAUGGAAGUGCCUUUGAUACUGCCUGACUUGAGUGCAGGAGAGGAGGGUGGAAUUCCCGGUGUAGAGGUGAAAUUCGUAGAUAUCGGGGGGAACACCAGCGGCGAAGGCGGCCCUCUGGACUGCAACUGACGCUGAAACACGAAAGCGUGGGGAG